rnacentral:tRNA from 1 species
GGGGGCAUAGCGCGGAGGUAGAGCGCGUGCUUAGUAUCCAUGAGGUCCUGGGUUCAAUCCCCAGUACCUCCG